CCUACGUGAGGCAGCAGUGGGGAAUAUUGCACAAUGGGGGAAACCCUGAUGCAGCGACGCCGCGUGAGUGAAGAAGUAUUUCGGUAUGUAAAGCUCUAUCAGCAGGGAAGAAAUAGCGACCUCUGGGUCGCCAGCCGGUACCCGAUUAAGAAGCCCCGGCUAACUACGUGCUAGCAGCCGCGGUAAUACGUAGGGGGCAAGCGUUAUCCGGAUUUAAUGGGUGUAAAGGGAGCGUCGACGGCAGCGCAAGUCUGAAGUGAAAUGCCGGGGCUUAACCCCGGAACUGCUUUGGAAACUGUGCAGCGAGAGUGCAGGAGAGGUAAGUGGAAUUCCUGGUGUAGCGGUGAAAGGCGUAGAUAUUAGGAGGAACACCAGUGGCGAAGGCGGCUUACUGGACUGUAACUGACGUUGAGGCUCGAAAGCGUGGGGAGCAAACAGGAUUAGAUACCCCUGUAGUC
rnacentral:rRNA from 1 species